rnacentral:rRNA from 1 species
CCUACGGGUGGCAGCAGUGGGGAAUAUUGCACAAUGGGGGAAACCCUGAUGCAGCGACGCCGCGUGAGCGAUGCAGUAUUUCGGGAUGUAAAGCUCUAUCAGCAGGGAAGAAGAUGACGGUACCUGACUAAGAAGCCCCGGCUAACUACGUGCCAGCAGCCGCGGUAAUACGUAGGGGGCAAGCGUUAUCCGGAUUUACUGGGUGUAAAGGGAGCGUAGACGGGGAUGCAAGACAGAUGUGAAAGCCCGGGGCUCAACCCCGGGACUGCAUUUGGAACUGGGUGGCGGGAGUGUCGGAGGGGCAGGCGGAAUUCCUAGUGUAGCGGUGAAAUGCGUAGAUAUUAGGAGGAACACCAGUGGCGAAGGCAGCCUGCUGGACGAUGACUGACGUUGAGGCUCGAAAGCGUGGGGAGCAAACAGGAUUAGAUACCCCGGUAGUC